rnacentral:rRNA from 1 species
UACGUAGGGUGCAAGCGUUGUCCGGAAUUAUUGGGCGUAAAGAGCUCGUAGGCGGUCUGUUACGUCUGCUGUGAAAACCCAGGGCUUAACCCUGGGCUUGCAGUGGAUACGGGCAGACUAGAGGCAGGUAGGGGAGAAUGGAAUUCCCGGUGUAGCGGUGAAAUGCGCAGAUAUCGGGAGGAACACCGGUGGCGAAGGCGGCGUUCUGGACUGUUUCUGACACUGAAAAACGAAAGCCAGGGGAGCAAACGGG